rnacentral:rRNA from 1 species
AAAGGUUUGGUCCUGGCCUUGAGGUCAGUUAUUACUUAAUAUACACAUGCAAGUAUCCGCCCCCCUGUGAAAACGCCCUUUAACCCCAUUUAGGGACGAGGAGCUGGUAUCAGGCACGAAAAUCUGCCCAAGACACCUAGCUACGCCACACCCACAAGGGAACUCAGCAGUGAUUAACAUUGAGCAUUAGCGCAAGCUUGACUCAGUUAAAGUAAAAUAGAGCCGGCUAAUCUGGUGCCAGCCGCCGCGGUUACACCACGUGGCUCAAAUUGACCUCCCUCGGCGUAAAGCGUGAUUAAAGUCAUCUACCUCUAGAAUUAAACUAAAACUAAGCUGUGACACGCUUGUUUAUUGUGAAAACCAAAAACGAAAGUUAUUCUAACACAACCCACUUGAAUUCACGACAGUUGGGGAACAAACUGGGAUUAGAUACCCCACUAUGCCCAACCGUAAACUUUUAUUUACAUCCAAAUCGCCAGGGAACUACGAGCCAAGCUUAAAACCCAAAGGACUUGACGGUACCCCAUAUCCCCCUAGAGGAGCCUGUCCUAUAAUUGAUAAUCCACGUUUAACCUCACCAUUUCUAGUUAAUCAGCCUGUAUACCUCCGUCGCAGCU